AGCAGUAAAGAUUCUGGCUCUGACAUGACUUUGCCAUCUUUGAGAGCAGUCUUACUCCUUUACCUUUUGAUUGAGAUUAAUUCUUUUCUAAAUCCUUGUAGUCUCAAGCAAUAGGGCAGAAAAACGUCUCUUAGCUUUACAUUUUCUUUUUUCAUGUUGUUUGUGCAGGCAUUUUUCUCUGGAUUCCCAGUGUGCUUUCCUCUUCUGUUCUGCAACCCAGAUGCAGUCUUUUGUGUAACUUUAUUUGGUUCCUUCACAACCUCCCGUAAUGAGGGAUCUUGCUGGGACAAUUAGGAACUGGUAUAUUACUGCUUUCAUCAACACAAGCCAGAGGCAGAGGGAACAGGAGGAAGAAGCCUGAUACAAAGAAAAUACUUUGAAACUUGAAGAGGGAGAAGUCCCAGAGGAGAGAGUUUAAUGAGCAAAGUCCAGAGGUGGAUGUAGCUCUCAAGCCUGUCACCUUGGUGUCAUUGUUUCAGAAGUAUUUAGCUCUAUUCUCCAUACAUUCUCAUGCCAUAGAGGGGGACUGAAUACAGUCACAAGGCCAGCUUUGGUUUCUGAAGGGCUGCAGCAUUCAUGGUGUUAUAUGAAUUAAGUUCCAUAAAGCUUCUACGGUAUUAAAAGCAAGAAAAGUAAAGAAAAGCAACAUCAAAACUUCA